rnacentral:rRNA from 1 species
AAGCACCUUCGGGUGUGAAUUAGCGGCGAACGGGUGAGGAACACGUGAGAAAUCUGCCUUCAACUCUGGGAUAACUCCGUGAAAACGGGGCUAAUACCGGAUAUGAGAUCUACAGGCAUCUGUGGAUCUGGAAAGUUUUUCGGUUGAAGAUGAUCUCGCGGCCUAUCAUCUUGUUGGUGAGGUAAUGGCUCACCAAGGCGACGACGGGUAGCCGGCCUGAGAGGGCGACCGGCCACACUGGGACUGAGACACGGCCCAGACUCCUACGGGAGGCAGCAGUGGGGAAUAUUGGGCAAUGGAGGAAACUCUGACCCAGCGACGCCGCGUGCGGGAUGAAGGCCUUCGGGUUGUAAACCGCUUUCAGCAGGGAAGAAGCGAAAGUGACGGUACCUGCAGAAGAAGCACCGGCUAACUAUGUGCCAGCAGCCGCGGUAAUACAUAGGGUGCAAGCGUUGUCCGGAAUUAUUGGGCGUAAAGAGCUCGUAGGUGGUUCGUCACGUCGGAUGUGAAACUCUGGGGCUUAACCCCAGACCUGCAUUCGAUACGGGCGAGCUUGAGUAUGGUAGGGGAGUCUGGAAUUCCUGGUGUAGCGGUGGAAUGCGCAGAUAUCAGGAGGAACACCAAUGGCGAAGGCAGGACUCUGGGCCAUUACUGACACUGAGGAGCGAAAGCGUGGGGAGCGAACAGGAUUAGAUACCCUGGUAGUCCACGCCGUAAACGGUGGGCGCUAGUUGUGCGAACCUUCCACGGUUUGUGCGACGCAGCUAACGCAUUAAGCGCCCCGCCUGGGGAGUACGAUCGCAAG